GGGCACUUGGCACAGUGGUAGCGCGCACGCUUCGCAGUUGCAAUUGCGUGAGGUCCAGGGUUCAAUCCCCUGAGUGUCCA